rnacentral:rRNA from 1 species
AUUGAACGCUGGCGGCAGGCCUAACACAUGCAAGUCGAGCGAGCGGCGGACGGUUGAGUAAUGUCUGGGAAACUGCUUGAUGGAGGGGGAUAACUACUGGAAACGGUAGCUAAUACCGCAUACCAUCAGAUGUGCCCAGGUGGUAUUAGCUAGUGGGUGGGGUAACGGCUCACCUAGGCGACGAUCCCUAACUGAUCAGAGAGGAUGACCGGCCACGCUGGAACUGAGGAACGGUCCAGACGCCUACGGGAGGCAGCAGUGGGGAAUAUUGCACAAUGGACGCAAGCCUGAUGCAGCCAUGCCGCGUGUGUGAAGAAGGCCUUCGGGUUGUAAAGCACUUUCAGCGGGGAGGCGUUACCCGCAGAGGAAGCACCGGCUAACUCCGUGCCAGCAGCCGCGGUAAUAC